GCCGUAAGAUUCUAUAAUUACUACUCUAAGUGAUCAUUUGUGGACACGGGCCAAACUCGAAUACCAUUUUUAUCAAAGAAGAGAACUAAAUGAAAAGUUCAGAAAUGUUUUAAGAUGGCGAAGUGACAGUAACAUUUAAAAAAAAAAAACAUGUGUAGUGGAAAGUUUAGUUCAUGUCCACUAAAGAUUUUAAAAUGCUUUCAACUAUCCUUGUGGUCUAAACAGUCAAGAAAAUGGCUAGAUUUUUUUUCCUACUGUGUACUUACACAGUUUCUAAGAACUGACUGGAUAGUGUAACUCACGAAAAUUUUUAAAAGAUUAACUGAGAAACCCAAGUAGCCAUGGGGCAAGUUCGCAUUACACUUUAUUAAGAUCAUGUGCUUUGCCUCGGAGCAUCUGAGAGAACCAUCCCAUCAGAUCCAACUCCUUUAGUUUCUCACGUUUUGGCCUUUAAGAUGCGGAGAUCACGGGAGGCCGCAUCAAAAGGAAGGAUUACACAUCAAAGGUAAAACUUUCAAAGAACUCGCCAAGUAUUUCAUAGCAGGCCACUUGGACCACUUUCAUCAUUUUCUGUAGAUCUUUAUAUUCUUGACACAACAACAUCCUAUUUUGGCCGAUGUUAAAAUCGAGGACUCCCAGAGCCUCUCCUGUUCUCUCACGAAGUGGAACUACUAUAUGCGUUUCUCCACAGGCAGAAGCCAGAACAACUUCUGAACUGUCAGUACAUUUAAAGAGGAAAUCUCUGAAAUCAAAACCAAAUAAGCACAAGGAUAUUAAACAUCUGUCUGUUCACAUCA